CAUGCAAGUCGGGCGAGCCGGCGCAGCGAUGCGCUAGGCGAGCGGCGGACGGGUGAGUAACGCGUGAGCAACCUGCCCCCGGGUCGGGAACAACCGGCCCAACGGCCGGCUAAUGCCGGAUACGGCGGGGCCCCGCAUGGGGCUUUGGCGAAAGAUUCAUCGCCCGGGGAUGGGCUCGCGUCCGAUUAGGCAGUUGGCGGGGCAGCGGCCCACCAAACCUACGAUCGGUAGCCGGCCUGAGAGGGCGUACGGCCACAUUGGGACUGAGAUACGGCCCAGACUCCUACGGGAGGCAGCAGCAGGGAAUAUUGCGCAAUGGGGGCAACCCUGACGCAGCGACGCCACGUGUGGGAUGGAGCGCCUAGGCGUGUAAACCACUGUCGCGGGGGAAUAGCGGGCGGCUUCGGCCGCCAUGAAUGUACCCUGAGAGGAAGCGCCGGCAAACUUCGUGCCAGCAGCCGCGGUAAUACGAGGGGCGCGAGCGUUGUUCGGAAUCACUGGGCGUAAAGGGAGCGCAGGCUGCCCUCCAAGCCGGGCGUGCAAGCCCGCGGCCCAACCGCGGGAUUGCGCCCGGGACUGUGGGGCUUGGAUAUUCCAGAGGCUGGCGGAAUUCCCGGUGGAGCGGUGGAAUGCGUAGAUAUCGGGAAGAACACCGGAGGCGAAGGCGGCCAGCUGGGGAACUAUCGACGCUGCAGCUCGAAAGCGCGGGUAGCAAACAGGAUUAGAUACCCUGGUAGUCCGCGCCGUAAACGAUGCGCGCUUGGCGCCCGGGGGCAACAGCCCCUGGGUGCCGGAGCCAACGCGAUAAGCGCGCCGCCUGGGGAGUACGCCCGCAAGGGUGAAACUCAAAGGAAUUGACGGGGGCCCGCACAAGCGGUGGAGCAUGUGGUUUAAUUCGACGCAACGCGCAGAACCUUACCAGGGUUUGACAUGGGGGAGAGGCGCCCAGAGAUGGGCGCGCCCGGCAACGGGCUCCCCGCACAGGUGCUGCAUGGCUGUCGUCAGCUCGUGUCGUGAGAUGUUGGGUUAAGUCCCGCAACGAGCGCAACCCGUGCCUCUGGUUGCUAAUUCAGCUCUCCAGAGGGACUGCCGG
rnacentral:rRNA from 1 species